rnacentral:lncRNA from 1 species
UGGUCCUAAGCCCUUCACAGUGGAGCAGUCAUGUUGUUGGUUUGUCCUUCAUCUUAUACAGCUAUUCUUUUAUUUUUAUGUAUGUUCUGAUCAUACUUGCAAUUGUGUGCUUGAGCUUCUGUAAUCAGGCUCAGCCAUGCCAAGGAUAUCAUUAUAAAGCAUAUACAAUAUUAUGAUAUUGGCUGUAAGUAAGCGAUUGCUUUACUUCCCUGUUUUGCCGUGGCUGAGAUCUCCGAGCACAUCACCAACAAAGUCUUCGAGCACUGCAUAAAAAGGUAAAUGCUUGCGGGCUGGCUACAAUAAUGUUCCUUUGACUAAUAGUGUUUUUAGUUCACUGGCGGGCUAGCUAAUUGAGUGUUCUUUCAUACUUUGCACCUAAUUGUGUGAUUCGUGAAAAUUUCUCAAUCUUUUGUGACAAUUGCAAUAUGAAUGGUGACAAUAGCGAAUGAUUUAAAAUGAUAUUUCCAUGCAUAUUUAUGUGGAGUAGUGAUUUGAGGCAUAUAUUAUUUCUUGAUAUGCUAUAAUUCAUGAGUUUAUUUGUAUGGUGAUGCUAAUAUGUAGUAAGGUGAUGUAUUUGAGCUCUACAUCUCUUUAUUUAGCCAAGCCAUGAAUUUUGUUUAGUUGAAGCAAGACAUGCCUUGCUGUCAAUUCUUGGCUGGACUGGACAGAGUGUUGCGGGAUACUUUUGGGGGUGUUCCCGUGGUUCAAAUCUGUUGAAUUUUUUUACAGUAAUAACUUCAUUACGAGUAGUAAAUAUUUGCAAAAUUUCAGCUAAAUCCGAGACCCUUAGAUAUGUCAAAUUAUUUUCUGAAAAGUACUGCACGAAGCAACGAAGUUCAGUGGCAGAUUCUGCCUUUUGUGAUAUAAUUUCGUAUACACUUGAUAUAUUAUAUUUUUGUAACUUUCUACUAAAGAUAGUCUUUAAUAGCUUUCUAAAAAGGUAAAUCUUGCAUUUUUCUUUGAAGUAGUUGAUUUCAUAUGAUUUUUCAAAGUUAGAAUUCAAAUGUAUAUGGUUCUUAAACUUGUGAGUAAUAAUUAGUUGAAAUUCUAAACUACUAAACUUGGAUUGAGGCUUUAUUUUCUUUUAACUUUUAUUUUAUUCUCACUUUAUUGUGCAUUAGAUUCUUGUGGAAUUGAUCGAGUGAGAUAUAAUGCAAUGUUUUGGUUUUCUGAACCUCUUGGAUUUUGAUUGUGGAACUCAACUUUAGCUAUGUGUAAUGAUUCAAGAAUGAUUUAUUUGACUGAAUGUAAUCUCUAUUAGUAUUUUUGCUUUGAUAAGGUUUUGUGAUCUCUGCUCUGAUUCAUGUUGAAAUGAACCGAUGUGAUUCUGAUUUUCAAUGGUCAGGAAUCUAUGGAGAGAUUUCUCUAACAUGGUUCUUUGAAGAUUCUCACUAUACCGAUAUUCUGAAAUUUCGAAUUUUGUAAACAAUCUUUGUGUAAUUGUAUAUAUGGGUUUAGAUAUCUCUACUGAUUUGUAUCCCUUUGAGCUUAGUUGCAUUUUAUCAUAAUUAUAUAUGUUUGCAUAUUGCAUAGCAUUUUACAUUUAUGACAAGCCAUGCCAAAUGCCAAGAGGAAUCCCAAUCCCAUAGCCUUUUUUCUGGAGAAAAAGAUAGUUUGCACUUGCGCACACACACAAAAAUGCAAAUCGGAAUGAAUAUUUAAAUUGUGUGGAAUUAGAGCAUGUUGAUAUAGGGGAUAACAUUGAAGCAAAUAUGGAUGGUUAGACAUCAUAUGGUUAUAUGUGUAUUACCAAAUCAAAUAUAGCUUCUCUAAUUGAUAUAAUUUUUCUGCAGGGGUUAUGGAAUGCAAAAUCGUCCAUGUUUUUGCUAAAGCAUUUUGUUUAUCUGUGUAAAGCAUUGAACUACAGUUGAUAGUUGAUUGGACUACAGUUGAUAGUUGAGUAGUUUUUGAGUUAGAUUUGUUGUUAUGGUGUAUUAAUCUUUGAGGUAAUUUUUGUAAUUAUUGCAACUGAACUACAGUUUAUAGAGGAUUUUGAAGGUUCUCUAUUACAAGUUAGAUUAGUUGUAGAGCUCAUAGAUUAAACUUGGUCGUCUCUUUUAUCUUUUUGUUGUGGGGA